UGGGGAAUCUUGCACAAUGGGGGCAACCCUGAUGCAGCGACGCCGCGUGAGCGAUGAAGCCCUUCGGGGCGUAAAGCUCUUUCGACCGGAACGAUAAUGACGGUACCGGGAGAAGAAGCUGCGGCUAACUACGUGCCAGCAGCCGCGGUAAUACGUAGGCAGCAAGCGUUGUUCGGAGUUACUGGGCGUAAAGAGUGCGUAGGCGGUUUUCUAAGUUCGGUGUGAAAUCUCCCGGCUUAACUGGGAGGGUGCGCCGAAGACUGGGAAGCUAGAGUGUGGGAAAGGCAGGCGGAAUUCCUGGUGUAGCGGUGAAAUGCGUAGAUAUCAGGAGGAACACCGGCGGUGUAGACGGCUUGCUAGACCAUAACUGACGCUGAGGCACGAAAGCGUGGGUAGCAAACA
rnacentral:rRNA from 1 species